rnacentral:rRNA from 1 species
AGAGUUUGAUCCUGGCUCAGAUUGAACGCUGGUGGCAUGCUUAACACAUGCAAGUCGAACGGUAACAGGUCUUCGGAUGCUGACGAGUGGCGGACGGGUGAGUAACGCGUAGGAAUCUGCCCAUCUGUGGGGGAUACCAGUUGGAAACGACUGUUAAUACCGCAUAAUAUCUGCGGAUUAAAGGUGGCCUUUGUGCUGCCGCAGAUGGAUGAGCCUGCGUUGGAUUAGCUAGUUGGUGGGGUAAGGGCCUACCAAGGCUACGAUCCAUAGCUGAUUUGAGAGGAUGAUCAGCCACAUUGGGACUGAGACACGGCCCAAACUCCUACGGGAGGCAGCAGUGGGGAAUAUUGGACAAUGGGGGAAACCCUGAUCCAGCAAUGCCAUGUGUGUGAAGAAGGCUCUAGGGUUGUAAAGCACUUUAGUUGGGGAGGAAAGCCUAUAAGUUAAUAGCUUGUAGGAAGGACGUUACCCAAAGAAUAAGGACCGGCUAACUCCGUGCCAGCAGCCGCGGUAAUACGGGGGGUCCGAGCGUUAAUCGGAAUUACUGGGCGUAAAGGGUCUGUAGGUGGUUUGUUAAGUCAGAUGUGAAAGCCCAGGGCUCAACCUUGGAACUGCAUUUGAUACUGGCAAACUAGAGUAUGGUAGAGGAAUGGGGAAUUUCUGGUGUAGCGGUGAAAUGCGUAGAGAUCAGAAGGAACACCAAUGGCGAAGGCAACAUUCUGGACCAAUACUGACACUGAGGGACGAAAGCGUGGGGAUCAAACAGGAUUAGAUACCCUGGUAGUCCACGCUGUAAACGAUGAGUACUAGCUGUUGGAUUCGGUGUAAAGGAUCUAGUGGCGCAGCUAACGCGUUAAGUACUCCGCCUGGGGACUACGGCCGCAAGGCUAAAACUCAAAGGAAUUGACGGGGACCCGCACAAGCGGUGGAGCAUGUGGUUUAAUUCGAUGCAACGCGAAGAACCUUACCUGGUCUUGACAUCCUGCGAACUUUCUAGAGAUAGAUUGGUGCCUUCGGGAACGCAGUGACAGGUGCUGCACGGCUGUCGUCAGCUCGUGUUGUGAAAUGUUGGGUUAAGUCCCGCAACGAGCGCAACCCCUAUUGAUAGUUACCAUCAUUAAGUUGGGUACUCUAUUGAGACUGCCGCUGACAAGGCGGAGGAAGGUGGGGACGACGUCAAGUCAUCAUGGCCCUUACGACCAGGGCUACACACGUGCUACAAUGGGUAUUACAGAGGGCUGCGAAGGUGCGAGCUGGAGCGAAACUCAGAAAGGUACUCUUAGUCCGGAUUGCAGUCUGCAACUCGACUGCAUGAAGUCGGAAUCGCUAGUAAUCGCAGGUCAGAAUACUGCGGUGAAUACGUUCCCGGGUCUUGUACACACCGCCCGUCACACCAUGGGAGUGGGUUGCUCCAGAAGUAGAUAGCUUAACGAAUGGGCGUUUACCACGGAGUGAUUCAUGACUGGGGUGAAGUCGUAACAAGGUAGCCGUAGGGGAACCUGCGGCUGGAUCACCU